UACGAAGGGGGCUAGCGUUGCUCGGAAUUACUGGGCGUAAAGGGCGCGUAGGCGGCACUGUUAGUCAGGCGUGAAAGUCCUGGGCUCAACCUGGGGAAUUGCGCUUGAUACGGCAGAGCUAGAGGAUGGAAGAGGCUCGCGGAAUUCCCAGUGUAGAGGUGAAAUUCCGUAGAUAUUGGGAAGAACACCGGUGGCGAAGG
rnacentral:rRNA from 1 species